GCCAAGAGUGCAACUACAGGCGUAUAAAAAUUGUCAUCAAAGGGUUUUGUUUCCGCUUGAGAAAUACUGUCUGCAUUUUGGAAAGAUCUUGUGAACCCCGUGACAGUUUGCUUGGGCCAAGGUGUUGUUCUGUCACUGGGACCGGCGGCACACAAGGAAGGCACACUGAAGGAGACCAAAGUACAACAAACAGGAUACCGUCCGCCAUUCCUCCUGGAAGUCAUCUGUGGAAAAGGCUGUUUUUCCUCACAUAAUAAUGAAACUAAGGAUUCAAAAGACAAAAAGUGGUGCAGAGAGGGAGUCUCUUUAAGUGGGAUGUUUUUCCUCUAUUUGAGCACCAAGGAAGGGGACAAGGGUAGGGAGCAAAGCUACUUAGGAAAGGAUCAUAAACCAGGUCAUGCUGUGUUACAGUAUGGUUAUUUGUGACACACUGUGUUCUCUGGUGUCUUGUAAAACUCACUAUGCUUUUUUCUCAUUUUUUCACUAAAGACCAUGAAAUUUUUAGUAUAUAAAAUAAAUGAAAGAGAAAUUCAAAACUGAUAAGCUAACUGAGUCAAGUGUAGUGCUAUUAGUAGAUAAUACACAGGACAACUUUCUUUGUGUGUAGAAAAUUGACAGAAUAUAGUUUUUUUUCUUUUUUUAACCCAAAAAAUUAUAAUCUAUUUCUAUGUGGGCAAGUCAUUUCUUUAACUCAAGCCUAAACUGCUUUGCAAAUUUGUAAUUUAAAAAGAUGCACUCAUUAACUCCAGUUCUUUGUAACUUUCAAUGCCUUCAAAGCUUCCUUACAUCCUACCACAUGCAAAUGGCAAAAUAAAAAAUAUAUAAGUAACAUGGGUGAGAUUUAUGAAUACUUGUUUGCUUACAGAAUAGAGACAUUAAGUCACCACAAUUUGUAAAGCAAGUGGUACUAUAAAUUCAAGAAAUAUACAAAUUUUUAUUAUAUAUUCAAGCAAAGGUAGAAAGAUAAAAUCCUCCCAAAAGGAUUUAAUGAAGCUACCAUCAAAGACAGAAAGAAGUCUUGGGAAAGAAAUACUAAAGAGAAACAUUUUGAGUAUAUAGCAACUAUAAAAAAUUAUAAAUAAAAAUCAAAAUAUUUGUAAAUAUUUAAUAUAUGUGUAUGUUUUAAAUAUGCAUCCAUACAUAUAUGUGUAUGUAUAUGCCCACGUUUAUUUUCAUCCUUUUUAAUGACUUUCAGUUUGAGAGCAACUGGCUUUCUCAAAUGUUGGUGGAAGAAUAAAUUGAUAUGAACUCUAUGGACUAGAGUUUGUCAAUAUAUGUAAUUCCAGAUAAAUGACCAUAUGGAUCAAUAGCUUUCCUCUUUUCUUAUAAAUAAUGGAAAUAUAUUCAUUACAUAGCGAUGAGCAUAUUCAUUGCACUAUUUUUUAUGUUAGUAAAGGAUUGAAAUAACCUCUAUGUCCUCCCCAAAUGAAUAGUGAAAUAGAUCAUAAUAUAGCAUUUUCAUGAAAUUCUGCAGCUGAUAAACUGAAUUCAAGGCAAUUUAGAUUUGUACGCAUAUGAAAAAAUACCCAAUAUACCUUGUUAAUUAAAAGACAGUGCAUCAGACUACACAGCUUCCAAUUCUUUGUGAAAAAUGCAAUUAUGUAAUAUGGAAAUAAAGACAGUAUUUCCAAAAGACAAUAUUAAUACUAUUUUCUCAUUGAAAUCCAUGUGUGAGAGUUGGAGAUGGAAUGUUAAUCGCGCAUUUUUAUUUUUUGUAUUUUAGAGCUCUGAGAUCUGGGACUUUGCCCACUCUGAAAAGACUGCUCCUUUCAAAGCAAUGAAUUCUGGGAGAUGGAAAAUGGCCUGUUGGUUCUUAGCUGGAAUGGAUCCUUGAAAUGAAAAACACUGAAAAAAGGAAAACAGAAUUCUAUCAGCAUAUGAACUUCUCAUAUACAAGGGAGAAACCUAGGGGAUUCAAAGUCAUCAAAAACGAGGCUUGGAAUUUUAGCUGUUCUGAAACAACUCUGUGGAAGUUAAUAAAUUCACUUCAAAGGUGAGGAACAGAUGCUGAACAGAGAAGAUUCUUGCCAUGUUGGUGCUCACGAGCAGGCUGAGAAUUACCUUUAAUUUGAACAAUUAAUAUAUUCAUCCAACAAAUACUUCUGUACACCAUCCUGUGGAUUUGCUGGCAUGGUAAAUAAUGAAUUUUGCACUUCAUCUACAUUCUCUCAUUUUGUAGAAAAAAUAUAAUUUUUGAAAAAAUAUAUAAUGAAAUCGAAUAAUACUUCAUGGUGUUGUACUUCACCCAUCUCCAGGGGUUGGACAUGGCUUUUCCAUCCCAACUGAAGGAGUUCCACCUUCCUUCUACAUAGGGUGCUCCAAGCAGGAGCUGAUAGUACCGGCCCAGACAGACCUCCACCGUGAUUGGUUCAGAGUUGAGUCAAUGAGAAGGUGACCAAUCAGGACUGAUACAAUGAAUUUUCCUCUCUUGAGUAAGGAAGAGAUUCUUAGACUCUCACUGAACCUGAACAGAGAACUGUAUCUUUGACAGUGGGCCUGAUGUUAACCAUCAAUGGAACCAAAGACAAACAAGAUGACAGUAAGAAGCGAGAGCACUGAAUAAGAAUGAAACCAGUCCUUAGAUGUCCCCAGAGGAGCCGCGUGCAUUACUUCUAAAUAUGCACAUCACGCCAGCUAGGUCAUUCCCUGCACUCUCUAAGCCACUAUCUACUGCAUUUCCUCUACUUUCAAUUUAGAGACAACUAUAAAUUCCAAUAUUAGGUUAUCACCUCCACCUAAAAAUUCCUUAAUCUGGUACACAAAGGCAAGUACAAACACGGUCUAAUUUCUAGCCCAGACAUUUUUAAUUUAUAAAGAUGGAAGGUUUGAUGUUGUUUUAGUGACUUUAUUUAGCCAUGUACUCUUUAUUGAUAUUUUUUUCUGACUCCUUGCAGUACCAGAUAUAAAAAGCAGCAGGUUUUCUCAAAUGAGAUUGUUGUAGGUGUUGAUGAAUUUUCCAAAUGUCCAUUUUGCUGGAAUUAAGGAACAGAAAUAGAUAUAGGCAGGACAUCAUUUUCUGCCCAUCACUUUCAGAGAUCUCAGAGGAAAACUCCUCACUCAAGACAGUUCUCAGCCUGAAAAUUACUAUCCAGAGCUGAGGAUAGUUGUUUGGAUGAAUGACAAAAUUAAUACAUAAUGCAGAUUUGGUCACAUUGAGAAGAAAAUCCAUGGAUAAGUUUUGCUGGGCUGAACAAAAUGCAUAAGUGUCCUAAAGUCUGGCUUCAUCACCAGAAGGAUAAAGGCUCACAAAUGCAAAGCAGAUGUGACAUAUGUCAGAUCAACUCCUGGACAGGCAUGAGAGUGGAGCCCCAAAUCUACAAAACGUUGGGCUACAAGAAAGAAACUCUCAGGUAAGAGCAUUAUACUUGCUUGACAGAAUGAUAUCCACACUCUGAAGGACAUCCAUGCUCUGACCCAGUGCCCGUGACUUCACUCACUCAUGUGGUAAAAUGAACUGUGCAGAUUUGAUGAGGAGAAGGCCCUGACAUCAGUGAUUUGGGAUCAGACCGGGGUGGACCAAAUGCAAUCACAAUCACCUAAUAAAAUGAAUGCAUGUACGAUCCAUGUCACAAAGGCAGGUGGAUGGACAGGAGCAGCAGUUAUAGUCAGACAGAAUAGAAGCUGGCCUGAUUGAAGAGAGAGGCAGUGUCCAAAUGGAAAAAAAAAAUGGGGGAACCUCUGGAAGUUUGAAGACUCAAGGAAGUUGAUUGCCUUCUGGGUUCUCCACAAAGGACUGCAGCCCCUGCUGGACCUUGAUUUUAGCCCAGUGAGACCAAUUUUAACUCUUGACUUCUGGGGCUGUAAGACUUUAGAUCUGCAUUGUGUUCCUCCAGUAAGUUUGUUUUGAUUGGUCAGCAUCAAGAGGGACCUUAGAGCAUCACCCUGACAUACACUUGUAGAGCUACCUUUAUUAAGUUGGUCUGUAUAUUGUGGAUUUCAGCUUCAGGCCAUAUUUUUCUUCUUACAUGUGACUAAUUGUCCAAAAUAAAAAUGUCAAAGACAUUAUUUUUAGACUAGAAAGCAUUAAGUGUGGUACAAUAGUUAAAGGCUAACCUGGUGCACAGUUAUAGUCAAUUUAGUGAGUUUAUGAAUGUGUCAUAUGCUGACUUCAAUCCAUGGUCCCCAGAUCGUAGUCAAUUAUUACAUCAUGAGGGGAGCCCAUGCUCCCUCCCCUGGGUAGGGGUGUGAUUGCUUCAUCAAUAGAGUAUAAUAAAACUGAACUCUGGAGCAAUGUGUGGGUGAGCUGAUGAGGCUGAUAGUUUCUACUUCCUGUAUUUUAGGACAUCUCUUUUGGAAAUCACCUCCCAUGCAAUGAGGAACCAAUCCAGGCAAAAGGCCAAGUGGGAAGGAAUCUACAGGUGGUAUUAGGCAGCCAUCUUGGGAGUGAUUCAGUUUGAAACUGACUUUUUGAAGCCAGCUGGGCAACAUCCAAAUGCUGCAGCUCAGAGCACAGAGGAGCGGUCUCCGUCCAUCACUCCCAUCCAAAUUCAGAUUCAUGAAUAACAACAAUAACCAGAAACAAUAGCUGUGCCACCAAGCCAUUACAUAAAAGUACAUUUCAAAUAAAGCAGCAGUGAAGCAGAGCAUAUCAUACACAUUUACCUCUGCACUGAGAUAUGUCACGUCAUCAAAGAGUUUCUGCACUGAAUGGAAAAUAUUUAAAUAACUUUAUUUUGAAUUUACAUAAAAUAUUCGAAAAAUGCCACUAAUUCUUUUAAUGAUUUAAAUACAGAAAGUGUCAGUGGCAUUUAGCAGAAGCCGGUGUCUGGGAGAUGGUGGUGCAGUAUGUCACAGCAUGUGUCAGUCGCCAAAGGGACUUAGAAAGUGCAGCUUGGACAUACACAUGCGUUUCCCACCUGUUACAUAGUUCAGUACACACAAAACCAAAAAUGUCCAUCUGUGUCGCCCUAAUAAAAUGCAUCCUUAGAAUAUGUCUGAGGUUACACUGAAGUCAACAGUUCUGCAAAUGUUCAGUCCUAUCAGUUCUUUCUAUCACCUCUUACUGUGUCUCAGUUGUCUCCAAAAAGAAAACAUGCAUACAUUUAUUUAUUUAUUUAUUUCAGGAUAUCCAUAGUUAAUUCACUUGUUAUUUCAGAUUGUGCAAAAUAAACAUAAAAGUACAACUAAUAAGAGAUGCUGCUCUCUCCCAUGACUGUCAUUUUAGAUUUACUGCAUUCAUAGGUCUUGAAUCCUAUAGCGUAGCUUUCCCCUAAAACACCUUCCAUAGCCCUGCAACAUUAAUGAGUAUGCUCUAGUAAUUACACAAGCUUGAAAUUUCAUAAAAACCUUUCUCAGAUCUGUUUCCUUCACUCAGAAGCAGAAAAACAGAAACUAAAAUAAGAACAACUCAAUUUGUCACCUUGUCACAUCUUAGUUUCAGGUUGGAGAUACAAUCUUUGUCCCAAAUUUUUCUUCUCACUGUUGCUUUUGAGUGAGUUCUGUGGAGUCUUUCAUUCACUGAAAUUUGACUGUAUUUUAAACUAAAGAUUUGAAAAUUUUUCACAUUCAGUACUUAUAUCUUUUAUAAAGUUUGUAUCAUGCUCAGACUGAAGUUGCUUUGAUGAGGAUCAUUGAUCCUUACAUUAUUAAGAAUCACAGCUGCUCUAGUACUUCAUGUCCAGAUACAGAUUAUUUUAAGAUUUAAGCAAUUUUAAUCAUGGCUAUGACAUUGCAGCUAUGACAAGCACAUAGUUCAGAGAAUUGGAAAAUUACCACAAUUUUAUUUCUUUGUUAAAUAUCAAAUUCUUUGAGGAAAAGAAUAUUUCAGACCUAGCAUAAAUAGAAAGGCUCCAAAUAUCACACAUGAGAAUAUUUUAAUUAUUACUGAUCUUGGUAUAGAAUUGGCUGAGGAUAAAGAUGAUUACCCUCCCUGCGGGUGGACAGCCUAGAGAUCAGUCUUUCUGUUCUCCAUUUCUCUAAGUAACAGAUUCUUGAAGGUAAAUUCCACCCAAUUUUUUUUUACCAUGUUGAGUCAUGUUAAUAUAUCCAAAAACUGAAUGCUAACGCUCUGCUCUCUACUGAUGUAGAGAGCUGGAAAAGGAUGAAGGCAAUUAUUACAGAAAACAGAAGCAGACACUAGACAUGUCCUUUAUCCUCCAAGGGUAGGAGGUACUGAUAGACUUUAAAAACCUGAUUUCCACAUGCGAUAAAGGCUAGAAAUUCAGUCAGUGCCUUAUAAUUAAGUGACUUGGUCCUAAAUUUUGAGAUUAUCCACAUUAAACACAAGUAUUCUUGCACAAAUAAUUAUUUACAACAGUUUCAAAUUACUUCAUCUAAGAAUAUUGCUUAAUUUCAAGGAGUUUAAUGACUGAUUGCCUUGCAACUCUGACAGAUUAAAAAAAUAUUUAAAUACUAAGUAUAGUUAGCACUACAUAUUUCUGGCUCCACAUCCAAAGGUUGAAAGGAAAAGGAAUGGAAAUAUUCAGAAAAAAUUGUGUCAUUACUGAACAAAUAUAAACUUUUUUCUCAUCAUCCUUAUUUCCUAAAUAUAAGGUAUGAAAUUGUGUAUAUAGCACCUACAUUGUUUUAAGCUUCGUAAAUAAUCUAGAAAUGAUCUAAAGUACACAGGAACAUGCAUACCUGUUCUACAUGAUAGUAUUUUAUUUUAUAUAAGGGACUGGAGUACCUUUAGAUUUUGAUAUUCACAUGCAUCCUGGAACCAGUUCAUUAUAGAGACCAAGACACAAUUAUAUGUUUAAAAAUUUAGCUUUUAUUAAGUGUGUUUAAAGUAAUUACAAAUUGUGAUAGAUGUUUUUUGAUGUUUAUCGAGGGUUUAGGAAAAUUUAGUCAAGAAUAAUUAUUUUUAGAAGAUCUGACCUAACUCAUGCAACUUUUCCUAAUUUGGGAAGAGAGAGCAGGAACAAGUUGGCACAUAAAAAUUUUAUUUUUGCAUACAUUCUGGAAAUAUAUCCAUGAGUUACACUAC